rnacentral:rRNA from 1 species
UACGUAGGUGGCAAGCGUUGUCCGGAAUUAUUGGGCGUAAAGCGCGCGCAGGUGGUUUCUUAAGUCUGAUGUGAAAGCCCACGGCUCAACCGUGGAGGGUCAUUGGAAACUGGGGAACUUGAGUGCAGGAGAGAAGAGUGGAAUUCCACGUGUAGCGGUGAAAUGCGUAGAGAUGUGGAGGAACACCAGUGGCGAAGGCGACUCUUUGGCCUGUAACUGACACUGAGGCGCGAAAGCGUGGGGAGCAACGGG